rnacentral:sRNA from 1 species
UCCAAACCUCGCAUGAGACAGAACUCAUGA